rnacentral:rRNA from 1 species
AUUGAGCGCUGGCGGAAUGCUUUACACAUGCAAGUCGAACGGCAGCACGGACUUCGGUCUGGUGGCGAGUGGCGAACGGGUGAGUAAUGUAUCGGAACGUGCCCAGUCGUGGGGGAUAACGUAGUGAAAAUUACGCUAAUACCGCAUACGAUCUAUGGAUGAAAGCGGGGGAUCGCAAGACCUCGCGCGAUUGGAGCGGCCGAUAUCAGAUGAGGUAGUUGUUGGGGUAAAGGCCCACCAAGCCAACGAUCUGUAGCUGGUCUGAGAGGACGACCAGCCACACUGGAACUGAGACACGGUCCAGACUCCUACGGGAGGCAGCAGUGGGGAAUUUUGGACAAUGGGCGAAAGCCUGAUCCAGCCAUUCCGCGUGCAGGAUGAAGGCCCUCGGGUUGUAAACUGCUUUUGUACAGAACGAAAAGGUUUCUACUAAUACUAGGAGCUCAUGACGGUACUGUAAGAAUAAGCACCGGCUAACUACGUGCCAGCAGCCGCCGUAA